rnacentral:ncRNA from 1 species
UCUUAUCAAGAGUGGUGUAGGGAAGUGCCCGUAGAUACCACGGCAACCGUCUUUUAUGACAAGGUGCCAAGUCACUGAAUCAAUCGAUUCGAAGAUGAG